GGGGGUGUAGCUCAGUUGGGAGAGCACCUGCCUUGCAAGCAGGGGUCAGGAGUUCGAAUCUCCUCAUCUCCACCA
rnacentral:tRNA from 1 species